rnacentral:rRNA from 1 species
GAUGAACGCUGGCGGCGUGCCUAAUACAUGCAAGUCGAGCGAACGGACGAGAAGCUUGCUUCUCUGAUGUUAGCGGCGGACGGGUGAGUAACACGUGGAUAACCUACCUAUAAGACUGGGAUAACUUCGGGAAACCGGAGCUAAUACCGGAUAAUAUUUUGAACCGCAUGGUUCAAAAGUGAAAGACGGUCUUGCUGUCACUUAUAGAUGGAUCCGCGCUGCAUUAGCUAGUUGGUAAGGUAACGGCUUACCAAGGCAACGAUGCAUAGCCGACCUGAGAGGGUGAUCGGCCACACUGGAACUGAGACACGGUCCAGACUCCUACGGGAGGCAGCAGUAGGGAAUCCUCCGCAAUGGGCGAAAGCCUGACGGAGCAACGCCGCGUGAGUGAUGAAGGUCUUCGGAUCGUAAAACUCUGUUAUUAGGGAAGAACAUAUGUGUAAGUAACUGUGCACAUCUUGACGGUACCUAAUCAGAAAGCCACGGCUAACUACGUGCCAGCAGCCGCGGUAAUACGUAGGUGGCAAGCGUUAUCCGGAAUUAUUGGGCGUAAAGCGCGCGUAGGCGGUUUUUUAAGUCUGAUGUGAAAGCCCACGGCUCAACCGUGGAGGGUCAUUGGAAACUGGAAAACUUGAGUGCAGAAGAGGAAAGUGGAAUUCCAUGUGUAGCGGUGAAAUGCGCAGAGAUAUGGAGGAACACCAGUGGCGAAGGCGACUUUCUGGUCUGUAACUGACGCUGAUGUGCGAAAGCGUGGGGAUCAAACAGGAUUAGAUACCCUGGUAGUCCACGCCGUAAACGAUGAGUGCUAAGUGUUAGGGGGUUUCCGCCCCUUAGUGCUGCAGCUAACGCAUUAAGCACUCCGCCUGGGGAGUACGACCGCAAGGUUGAAACUCAAAGGAAUUGACGGGGACCCGCACAAGCGGUGGAGCAUGUGGUUUAAUUCGAAGCAACGCGAAGAACCUUACCAAAUCUUGACAUCCUUUGACAACUCUAGAGAUAGAGCCUUCCCCUUCGGGGGACAAAGUGACAGGUGGUGCAUGGUUGUCGUCAGCUCGUGUCGUGAGAUGUUGGGUUAAGUCCCGCAACGAGCGCAACCCUUAAGCUUAGUUGCCAUCAUUAAGUUGGGCACUCUAAGUUGACUGCCGGUGACAAACCGGAGGAAGGUGGGGAUGACGUCAAAUCAUCAUGCCCCUUAUGAUUUGGGCUACACACGUGCUACAAUGGACAAUACAAAGGGCAGCGAAACCGCGAGGUCAAGCAAAUCCCAUAAAGUUGUUCUCAGUUCGGAUUGUAGUCUGCAACUCGACUACAUGAAGCUGGAAUCGCUAGUAAUCGUAGAUCAGCAUGCUACGGUGAAUACGUUCCCGGGUCU